rnacentral:rRNA from 1 species
GACGAACGCUGGCGGCGUGCUUAACACAUGCAAGUCGAACGGAAAGGCCCUGCUUGCAGGGUACUCGAGUGGCGAACGGGUGAGUAACACGUGGGUGAUCUGCCCUGCACUUCGGGAUAAGCUUGGGAAACUGGGUCUAAUACCGGAUAGGAGCCAUCUUUAGUGUGGUGGUUGGAAAGUUUUUUCGGUGUAGGAUGAGCUCGCGGCCUAUCAGCUUGUUGGUGGGGUAAUGGCGUACCAAGGCGGCGACGGGUAGCCGGCCUGAGAGGGUGUACGGCCACAUUGGGACUGAGAUACAGCCCAGACUCCUACGGGAGGCAGCAGUGGGGAAUAUUGCACAAUGGGCGCAAGCCUGAUGCAGCGACGCCGCGUGGGCGAUGAAGGCCUUCGGGUUGUAAACUCCUUUCGCUAGGGACGAAGCUUUUUUGUGACGGUACCUAGUUAAGAAGCACCGGCUAACUACGUG